CCUACGGGCGGCAGCAGUGAGGAAUAUUGGUCAAUGGACGAUAGUCUGAACCAGCCAAGUAGCGUGAAGGAUGACUGCCCUAUGGGUUGUAAACUUCUUUUAUAAAGGAAUAAAACGAGGCACGUGUGCCUGUUUGCAUGUACUUUAUGAAUAAGGAUCGGCUAACUCCGUGCCAGCAGCCGCGGUAAUACGGAGGAUCCGAGCGUUAUCCGGAUUUAUUGGGUUUAAAGGGAGCGUAGAUGGGUUGUUAAGUCAGGUGUGAAAGUUUGCGGCUCAACCGUAAAAUUGCAAUUGAUACUGGCAGUCUUGAGUACAGUAGAGGUAGGCGGAAUUCGUGGUGUAGCGGUGAAAUGCUUAGAUAUCACGAAGAACCCCGAUUGCGAAGGCAGCUUACUAAACUGUGACUGACGUUGAUGCUCGAAAGUGUGGGUAUCAAACAGGAUUAGAUACCCUGGUAGUC
rnacentral:rRNA from 1 species